rnacentral:pre_miRNA from 1 species
UUAAAGUUAACUCGUAUGGCGUUGGAACGUUUGCCUACAUUUGCUGCUAGGGGUGCUGUUCCAACUGCAUACAAAUUUGUGUUA